GUGGGUGACUGCUCGUCUCAUUGUUUACUUUUCAUUAUAGAUGCGCAAAUGAGAAUACCUUUUCAGCCAAGCAGUAUCUUUAAAUACACCGGUUUUCACAAACUUUUCAUGCAAUUCACAGGGUCUUCUACUCACAUGAAAAUCUGAAGGGUCUUCCGCCAAGUCCACAUUGCUUCACUCUCUGUCCGUGAAAAAGACCAUAGUUAACCCUACCGACAAAUUUAUCCAGCUCUUGUCCUGUGGCAUUUACAAGUUGCGCACCGGUUGUACACAACACAGUCCCCUGGACCCAAAACUGCGUCCCCAUCGCGGCGGCAAUAAUGAGGACGCAACCGAAACUCAACACUCCGGCAACAGAGAAUAUAAUUUUCUUUUGACAACUUGGCAUGAACUGCGGGACAACAGGUGGCGAAGGACACUGUCUACCGGAGGCUGGGGCGACACCAUGUGCUAGCUAACUAAUAAGCUAGGGUUGGGCUAACUAGCUAGUUAGCAACACUUUGUGCUACUUUUAGUUAGUUAGUACACGGCGUCACCCACAACUCUCGUCUGCUGCAUACCGGAGAAAAUCAUGCCAGACAGGCGUGGGAGAAGGACACUGUCUACCGGUCGCCCCCGCCUCCCGCUAGCACAGCAGCAGUUAUUGGCUGUAGCUUCAAGUCUUCACUGGCUUGGGAUGGUGUUCGAAUCCCGUCUGCUCCUCCUACUCCUGAACACCUCCCUGACCCUCUGUCUGAAUGCCUUGGAGAAGUAGUAGUAGAGCACGGGGUCCAGGCAGAGAUGCAGCACCACCAGCAGUAAUGUGGACUCCUUGGCCAGGAAGAGGUGCCUCUUGGUCUGGCAGUCUGGAGUGAUGACCUCGGUCUGGGCCAGCGUAUAGGGCGUCCGUACCACGUGGUAUGGCACGAAGCACACCACGUACGCUGCCGUCACCACCGUAACAUUGACGGUUGCACGGCGAGCAUGGCGCCACUGUUCAGGGUCAUUCCUGCUCGCCAGCAACCUCUUUAGCACCAGACCGUUGGCGACGAGGACAGCCGUGGACGCGUUGAGGAACAGGAUGGUACAGAGGAAGACUGAGAGGCCGUGCCAGUGGAGUCCCACCUCCUGCUUCAGCUUGGAGCAGCUCAGGAACUUCCUCUCUGGGAUGUCCUGGAUGGGCAGGGCCAUGUUGGGCACCAUGAUGAGGAGCACAAGUAGCCACACCGUCACUGACAUCAGCCUGGCAAAGCCCACUUCUUGUAUACGGAACAGUCUGGAGCUCUGGCUGGUCAAUCAAUCAAUAAAUCAAUCAAUCACUGUUUAAAGUGCUUCUAAUUCUAGCAAAACAUUUAACCAAAAAAAAUGCUAAUAAUCCUUACACAAUAAUUAACAAUAGUACAACAUUAAAAUAAGUUCAAAAGACAGUUUCAAAACCAUAAUAAUACCUGAUCUGCAUGUAGCAGUCAAUGCUGACGAAGGUGAGGAAGAAGAUGGACACAUACAUGCUGAUGUAGACUACCACGGCGCUCACCUGGCAGUGGAAGACCAUGAAGCCCCAGGGUACCACACCCAGGUCUUUGGCCACCUUGAAGGGCAGGGCCAGGGUGAGCAGGAGGUCAGCGGUCAGGAGAUUGACCAGGUAGACAUCGAUGCUCUUCUUGUCAUUGUAGCUGUGUAUGAACACCCACAGAGCCACCAGGUUGGCAGCUAUGCUGGUGAGAAAGACCAGGAUGUAGAGCACGCUGAAAGGCUCCAUCUGGUCAUUGACAACACACUGAGGGAGGGUGUCAUCGGUGGAGUUUGUGGGAAGCGUCAUCAUCAAUUGGGGAGUCGAUAGUCUAACAAAACAUGCACCUUUGACUGAGAAAGAAAAUCCACAUGUGGUUAGGUCAUACAAAUUUGAUUCGUUUAGAAAACUGAGGCCAGCCAGCAAAUCAUAAACAAAUGUACUGCAGUGAUCUUAGAACAACACCUAUGAACCUUGUUUAAAAAAUAAAUAAUGAGAACCUUACUC